rnacentral:rRNA from 1 species
ACCUUACCUGGGCUUGAACUGUAAUAGACCGUGGCAGAGAUGUCACUUUUCGCAAGAACUGUUAUAGAGGUGCUGCAUGGCUGUCGUCAGCUCGUGUCGUGAGAUGUUGGGUUAAGUCCCGCAACGAGCGCAACCCUUACCUAUAGUUGCCAGCGAGUAAUGUCGGGAACUCUAUAGGGACUGCCCGGGUUAACCGGGAGGAAGGUGGGGAUGAUGUCAAGUCCUCAUGGCCCUUAUGUCCAGGGCUACACACGUGCUACAAUGGCCGAUACAAACCGCUGCAGAAUCGUGAGAUGAAGCUAAUCGGAUAAAAUCGGCCUCAGUUCGGAUUGAGGUCUGCAACUCGACCUCAUGAAGUUGGAAUCGCUAGUAAUCGUAUAUCAGAACGAUACGGUGAAUACGUUCCCGGGCCUUGUACACACCGCCCGUCACAUCACGAAAGCCGGAAGCACUUGAAGAGGCUGUGGUAACCGCAAGGAG